UUCCCUAUCAGAAUGGAAUGAUAAUCCCUGCUCCCAUAGGCUUGUGAGGGUCAAGUGAGGAACACCAUUGCCACAUGUAUGAAUACCUGAGUACACGCCCCCUCCACCUCUUCCCUCCAGGAGAAUAAGCUGGCAACCUGGGACAGGAUGAGUGAAAAUGGGGAACCUCUUUCUGUGGCUUCUGCCUUGUGCUGGAGUAAGGAUAGCCAGGGCAGGAUGCAGGUUCAAAGGCCCAGCAUCAUCUCUUACUGCGCUGCUCCUCAUAGCUGUCCUCCUGGGCCCCAUCUACGUCCCCUGGAAGCAGAAGACCUGACUAUCCUUCCUUCCUCCCCUGCCACGUGGGACCCUCAUCUCUGCUGCCUGCUUCCUUUCCUGAGACUCAGCUUGAGAGAAUGAGCCAGUGAGAAGCUUCUCUAGACUUGG
rnacentral:sRNA from 1 species